UAAAAUCAGAUGACUAAAGCAGGAAGU
rnacentral:piRNA from 1 species